rnacentral:rRNA from 1 species
AUUAGCUAAUACCGCAUACGACCUGAGGGUGAAAGCGGGGGACCGUAAGGCCUCGCGCAAUAGGAGCGGCCGAUGUCUGAUUAGCUAGUUGGUGGGGUAAAGGCCCACCAAGGCGACGAUCAGUAGCUGGUCUGAGAGGACGAUCAGCCACACUGGGACUGAGACACGGCCCAGACUCCUACGGGAGGCAGCAGUGGGGAAUUUUGGACAAUGGGGGCAACCCUGAUCCAGCAAUGCCGCGUGUGUGAAGAAGGCCUUCGGGUUGUAAAGCACUUUUGUCCGGAAAGAAAUCGCGCUGGUUAAUACCUGGCGUGGAUGACGGUACCGGAAGAAUAAGCACCGGCUAACUACGUGCCAGCAGCCGCGGUAAUACGUAGGGUGCGAGCGUUAAUCGGAAUUACUGGGCGUAAAGCGUGCGCAGGCGGUUUGAUAAGACAGGCGUGAAAUCCCCGGGCUCAACCUGGGAAUGGCGCUUGUGACUGUCAGGCUAGAGUGCGUCAGAGGGGGGUAGAAUUCCACGUGUAGCAGUGAAAUGCGUAGAGAUGUGGAGGAAUACCGAUGGCGAA